rnacentral:rRNA from 1 species
CGGGUGAGUAACACGUGGGUAACCUGCCUGUAAGACUGGGAUAACUCCGGGAAACCGGGGCUAAUACCGGAUAACUCAUUUCCUCGCAUGAGGAAAUGUUGAAAGGUGGCUUUUAGCUACCACUUACAGAUGGACCCGCGGCGCAUUAGCUAGUUGGUGAGGUAACGGCUCACCAAGGCAACGAUGCGUAGCCGACCUG